ensembl:lncRNA
GGGUGUUGGGGGGGGGCGGAGAGGGACGCCCCGGGAAACGCUGCUGUCCGUCCUGAAAGCGCACAACUCGGCACAUUUGGUUAGAAUGGGCUGAGACGGACCCGCCCAAGCUUUCUGUGCGAGGAGGCGCAGGCCUGUAAGAUACGCGCGCAUCUGCUGCCGUCUUUGUUUUUUUUCCCCACUGGUGGUGAAACGUUCCAGCAGAAGAAACAGGGACAACACUGCCUAUACUGUAUGAGUGCCUAAUUUGCAUACAAGCUUUCAUUUUGGACAUUUUGCGAGUGAUCUGUGUGAUUUCCAUAGAAGGGAGCUUGUUGUCGUUGUGCAGAAUAAAAAGGAGGUUUUAGUUUCCUGCCACUUGACCACCAAUAAAGGAUAACAGGCGGAUUGUUAGGGUUAUUAUUCACAAUUGUGUAAUCUUCAGCCAACUGGAUGCGAACCAGAAUGUAAAUCAACACGUGUUCCAGGUUUUCAAAUCUUGCCCCCCCCCCAAAAAAGGCAUUGCACACCAUUCAUGUGCAUUGUUUUGACAGCAGAUGUUCGUUUGCUUUUAUUUAACUGCACAAUCUGCUGUUGUAUUACUUUUAAAGGUGCAACGCGUCAGAUCCGUCCAUCUGCUCCAAGCAACUAGGGGGCAGCACCUCACCUCUUUUACCUUUUUCCAACAGUCUAAAUGUGCAGCCGUCAGAUAUAAUAAUAUACAGAAGCGCCUAUUGAAAUAACUAUUUUUGACCAGUUUAACGUCUCCCUCUCUGCAGCACAAUACGUUAACAUAUUUCACUAUAAAGUCAAAACCGUAAUCUCCUCACACUUUGCUGUCUCUUAUUUUAGUUUAUAAGGUCUUUAGACAGAUAUUACACGUUGCACCUUUUUAAAAGUAUGUAAGAUUCCAAAAGCAGCGUGUACAUGGAAUCAUGAAAGUAGCAAGAAAGAGAUUACUAAAGGAGAAGAUCCAGGUAGCUCCAGGUGGUCCCAGGUGGUUCCCAGAUCGUGACCUUCCCCACUACACUUGGUCACUCUACCUGAGUUUGUACCGCUUGUCUCGGGCUCGGCGAUACAAGCCAAACUUAAACGGUGCACCAAACCGAAACAAAAGUACCGACGCAAAGGUUUUGUGUUUUUAGAGCUUUUUGCAAAAUAAAAAGGGCCACCAGGCAUAAUUUGUUUUAUUUAUUAUCUGGAUUACAGGGAUACGUAUGUUUUGUAUACGGAGUAGUGCUCCGGUGAGCCUGUAAUGCGAUUAAACACCAGAACAAAAAGUGAUUCUUAUUCUGGAAAUGCUACGUCUCACCUGCAGCUCGUGUUGGGGGACGACAUCUCGCUAGCUUAAGCUGCUCCAAAGCAGGUCAGCCGUCCUUGUCUUUGUCGGUUGUAGUUUGAACGAGCUCAACAAAAGGCUUGAGCCGGCUUUGGGUAUCACUGUCAUGAAUGAAUGAAGUCAUUACAAUUCAACCACCUGGGAUUAUAAAUGUCUGUACAAAAAUUCAAGGGAAGCGAUUCACAAUAGUGAAGAUAUAUUUUAGGCUGGUUUUCCCAUUUCUGGACCAAUGCACCGAUGGACUGAUGGAUGAGAAAGCGAUGAACAUUACCGCCCUCUCUGACGCCCCACAGCCUCCGUCUGGCUGAAGAUCCCCAGACAGGAAGUGAUGCGAGGUAGCGGCAUGAUCCAAAGAUCGUCGGGGUCCCAUCUGUGCAUGUCCUUGUUAUUUAAGUAUGUCUCAAGCUGUGGUAGUGUGCAGACCCCCCGUUAUCAGUGAAUGAGAACAUGCCUCUUAGAGUGUUUUGGUUAUAUUGCAAUGGGUUAUAUCACGUGGUUACUCAUUCUUAAUGAUUUGUAUAGCUGCAGUUUUAUUAAGGAUCUAUUGUAUAGAUGUAUAAUUUAAUAAUAAAAGUGAAUAUAUUGAUUCAUUCUCUGUUAAAUGAUUUGACUUUAACAGCUUUGAAUGGGGUCAUGUGUUUGUUCCGCAUCUCAGCAUGACGUCACUGCUAAUGAUGCUAGCUAACGACGCUAACCUCUGCUUCCGCCGAGCCACGGCAAUGCAAAGCGUCUUAAGACGUGCACCAUCUCCGCUGACCAGCAGGGGGCGACUCCUCUUGUGUCAAAAAGAAGACUCAUUGAAAAGAAGUCGGUGAGAAAAUGAAAUACCGCUAAAUGGCUGCAAAAGGGUUGGAAAGUAAAAUACAUCUUAAACUCCUUUUAAAAACACUAGACUCGUGCCAUUGUCAAGAAAUUCUGAUUUUUAUCAAAAUAGAUAUACUGAGAGACAAUUAGGCUACGUAACUGACCCGAAUCGUGUUUGGAAACUAAAAGCACUUUCAGGGCAAAACAUUAUUCAAACUCAGACCCGCUGCCUGGAGUCCGUCUCAAUUACCAUGUUGUUAAAAGUGACACUUGGAGUAUAAUUGAAUUGCACAUGCAUAGUUGUGUUAUGAGUCAUAGCACUUCAUACGAAGCACACCAAGCCUCUGCUAGUUAUAUAUUCUAAAACAAAUGAACCUUUUUCAGUCGAUAUAAUCAUAUCCUGUACUCAUUGUGAUGGAUAUUGCUUCACACAUCCAUGAAACAAACUUCAGUUGGUAGUUGAGUCGUUCUGCUCGUCCUCGGCCUGGUUGUGUACACUGAGUUUAGCAACGUAUCCCGGCCCUCCCUCUCCC